rnacentral:lncRNA from 1 species
ACCACUUUUGUUUGUUCCGAAGAGUGGUCUUUGUUCACAGGUUUGACUGUAUUGUCUGAUGCAGCGUUUAAAAUCACCCGAUACGGGUUUGAAUUUAUCAGUAGGGAGUACCCGGAUUUUUAUUAAAAUAAGUUUUAUUGAAAACAAUGUAACGUUGUUGAAAAAUAUCAAUUUAUCAAGAUAGACCACUGACCUACAAAAACGUUUGAAAAUAAAGUUAUAUAAACUUCUUGAAUCCUGGACAGGCUAUAUCUGUAAAUGUGACAUAACACCUGUUCGUCUAGACAAGGCACACAACUGCAACGGUAAUAGCUGUAUAAGCACUUUUACACUUAUUUUGAAGGGGAGUGGUUCGAAAGAACUACAGAUAUUGUUGAGGAAGUAUAACUUCGGGAAGACAGCUUAAAUAUGUCGUAAAGCCCAAGUCUUACAAGAUUAAUGCAAGUACAUCAGAAAGUAUGCAGCAGUGAUGUUGUGAUUUCUCUCUAUGAACUUUGUGAUACAACUAUAGUGAUACGAACAGAAACUAACAGAAACUCUGUAAUCAUCAAUGUGUCAGCUGGAAUCGGUUCCGGAAUCGCUACUGUCAUUGUAGCUGCCAUCGUGGUGAAAUGUAUUUUAAAUAGGCCCGACAGAGAUGGCUGAAUUUUCUCAUGACAAUACAGGAGAUCAUCCGUAUAACCAGCUUUGAGAAAUUGCUGUGACAUAUACGUGUGCAUGAAGAACGGAACGACAGAAAGCUAUUUAGCAGUUUACAUUGGAUACCAUAAUUGUCUACACAACAAUUUUAGCAAAAACUUUUCAUGUUUUGUGUACUGUAGACUGAGUUGGUAACUGUUCGUAAUAUGGCAUAAUUUUUAAAUUAUAUAGCGAUGUUAUUCUUUUGCACAAUUUCAGUGACGCUUUGUUUUCGAUGGAUGUUUAUAUGUAUUGCCUACUUUGUUGUCAGUGAUAGGAAAAAGUAGAUAAGUUUUUGUCUGCCUAAAUCUUCGAGGUUUCUGAUGGAACGUUUCGUUUAAUAAGCUUUAAUUUAAUACUGCAUUGGACGCUGUCAUAACCUGAUAUUUUGCUAAAAGUCUAAUCAAGUUCGUGUAAUACAGAACAUCCGGUAUUUACCAAAAUAUCCAUUUACUACUAAAGUUACCUUUCAUGAACACACUAAGUGAAACAGAUUCUGCUGUUAUUUGACUUGAUUGCGUUCGAUGCUCCCAAAAUAUCUUCUUACACAUUUGCUACAACAGCUUUUAAGUGUCGUACGGCUCCCCGCACUUUGACUCACUGUUGUGAUAUUUUCUGAUCCUUCGGGGUCAUUGAGAAAAUUUGAUUUUUCUUUAGUAGAAUUUCUCUUAAGCUAGUGCUAUAGAGCGCCGCGAGAGUGUUUCACAUUUCAUUACGUCUUUCAGACAAUCAAACCAGAUCUGCUUUUAUUUACAAGUACUUGACUGCAUCCUAAUGAUCUUUUGUAGAUUUUAUUAAGACUUACAUUAUC